AACGCUAGCUACAGGCUUAACACAUGCAAGUCGAGGGGCAGCAUUGGAGUAGCAAUACUUCAGAUGGCGACCGGCGCACGGGUGAGUAACACGUAUCCAACCUGCCGCUUACUCGGGGAUAGCCUUUCGAAAGAAAGAUUAAUACCCGAUGGUAUAAAGAGUUCGCAUGUUCUCUUUAUUAAAGAAUUUCGGUAAGCGAUGGGGAUGCGUUCCAUUAGAUAGUUGGCGGGGUAACGGCCCACCAAGUCUACGAUGGAUAGGGGUUCUGAGAGGAAGGUCCCCCACAUUGGAACUGAGACACGGUCCAAACUCCAACGGGAGGCAGCAGUGAGGAAUAUUGGUCAAUGGACGCGAGUCUGAACCAGCCAAGUAGCGUGAAGGAUGACUGCCCUAUGGGUUGUAAACUUCUUUUAUAAGGGAAUAAAGUGAGGGACGUGUCCCUUUUUGUAUGUACCUUAUGAAUAAGGAUCGGCUAACUCCGUGCCAGCAGCCGCGGUAAUACGGAGGAUCCGAGCGUUAUCCGGAUUUAUUGGGUCUAAAGGGAGCGUAGGUUGACAUAUAAGUCAGCUGUGAAAGUUUACGGCUCAACCGUGAAAUUGCAGUUGAUACUGUAUGUCUUGAGUGUACAAGAGGUGGGCGGAAUUCGUGGUGUAGCGGUGAAAUGCUUAGAUAUCACGAAGAACUCCGAUUG
rnacentral:rRNA from 1 species